AUCCAACCGCGAACGGUUCAACGACACAGAGCUCGUAACAGAGAAUUGCCACGGUACAUAACUACACAGCAAUUCUCGAUUCAUCGAUUCACGGGCCAGAAUACAAACCAGGUGGUCCAUUUCAUCUCCUCGUUGCAUAAUUCACGUAAACAAGGAAUCGUUGGAAGCUGUUUUCUCGACUUUUGGCGAGAUUCCCGCUGGAGUCUCGGCGCUGCCGCGACAGAGGACGCAAUCAAUACUUGUCAUUGUGCACGAGGAAUCACUUCUCUCGUUAGAGUCAAACGUUGCUGUUAAUUAAGUCACUCGGGACACGAGUCCGUACUGACUCGCAACACGAGUCUCGUUUCUGACGCCAACCGCCGCGGAACGCCGAGAGAUAAUCGACCCACUUCUCCCGGCAUUCCUGCAAUUUUCUCGACGUCGCAAUUGCCGGUCGCCCCGCGAGAGAGAAUGGUCGCCGAUUAUUCCAUGUUUGGUGUAAACGUCGAUCGAGCCCCGAACUUCGGAAUGUUUUACCUCGGAGUGGUGGCACGCACGAAUUUCUCGGCGCAGGAACGGGCGAAAUAAAAUUUCUACAGGGUUUAUCGCGAGCGUGGUAGCUGGUGCCCCAAGGGGAGCACGGUCCUAGUAAAACAUUCCUAGAGAGCCACUAACUUCGUUUCCCUUCGCCGCGGCACUAAUUUCGAGCUUGUCGUUACAAAUGAAAGGGUUCGCCAAGUCUGCAACCUUCCGUGGCACAAAUAUUUGUUAUUUCAGUCGCCGGAUGUCCUUAAACUCCCGCGGGAAUGCGUUCCGUUCCAGAGGUGCCGCUCGAACGCAACGGCGUCGACUGCUCGCGGUGCGCGGCACCCGUUUGAAGUCCGGUGUUUGAACAGCGGUCAUUGUCUUGCCUCGACGACCCUGCUACUAUGUCUCCUCGUUCCUCCUUUUUCCUCGUUCGCUCUCAUUCGACGCCAAACUACCGCCAGCGAGAAGCCAGGUCGUUUCAGAUAAGGACCGACUUAAAAGCUUCCCUCGGGCACUCGCGAAAAGCAUUUUUUACGACACCUCCGAUUGAGGUGUCUUUGCCCACCGUGAGCCGAGGCGAACGGAGAUUGCUCGCUGAAGAUGAUUUCCGGGAAGACUCUGAAACGCACCAGGACGACGCCCUCGAUGCAACUUGCGAGUGGACGACUGAAUUUCUGAACGAGGAACAGCAACAACUUCUGCAAAUUGAGACGGCAAAAAUGUCCGCGAGGAACGUGCUACGGGCGAGGGGUCAGUUCCGCUACCCCGACAAAAGUUUGCCAUGAGAAAGUUUAGGGGCACGGAAGCUCAUCGAGGCAGCCGGUGGGAUCUCAUGUUUGGAUAGUCUUUAACUGACUAUUACACCUGAAUGGAGCGUCUUAAAAUGGAAAAGGGCAGCCCAGGCCCUUGAUCCGACCGGCCCACUUCCUGUGGAACCCGAACGAGUAGAUCCCGAGGACCAACGGUCAAUGGUA